rnacentral:rRNA from 1 species
UACGGAGGGUGCAAGCGUUAUCCGGAUUCACUGGGUUUAAAGGGUGCGUAGGCGGGUAUAUAAGUCAGUGGUGAAAGCUCCGGGCUUAACUUGGAAACUGCCAUUGAUACUGUAUAUCUUGAAUGUCGUUGAGGUUAGCGGAAUGUUGCAUGUAGCGGUGAAAUGCUUAGAUAUGUUACAGAACACCGAUUGCGAAGGCAGCUUACUAUGGUUUUAUUGACACUGAGGCACGAAAGCGUGGGGAUCAAACAGG